rnacentral:rRNA from 1 species
UACAGAGGUCUCAAGCGUUUGUUCGGAUUUCAUUUGGGCGUAAAGGGUGCGUAGGUGGCGCCGUAAGUGGGGUGUGAAAUUUUCGGAGCUUUAACUCCGAAACUGCAUUUCCAUACUGCGGUGCUUGAGGACUGGAGAGGAGACUGGAAUUUUACGGUGUAGCAGUGAAAUGCGUAGAGAUCGUAAGGAAGACCAGUGGCGAAGGCGGGUCUCUGGACAGUUUCCUGACACUGAGGCACGAAGGCCAGGGGAGCAAACGGG